GCCAGUAACAAACAUGGCUCCCUGAAGCCGCUCAGGCUCAAGAGCAACAUGGAGGUCUGCACUUAAUCGCUCCUCUCCGGGGGCGGCCAUACUGAGGAGGCAUCUCUUCCGUGCAGGCAGGCUCUCCUGGGGACCUCAGAGAUUCUCUCCAGCGGCAGCAGAAAACGGGCAAUGGGUGGAUUCGGGUCCAGAUUCUGGCAGGAGGGAGUUUGGGAUCGAGAUCUGGAAAAAAGCACUAGACUGGAAGAGGACGCGAUGGAGUCGGAGCCGCUGGCGGGUACAAAAACCAGAGGCCGGGGAAGGCGCCGGUGGGAGGCAAGGCACGGAUGGACUUUACCUGCGCACGCGUCGCAGCCAUCUCCGCGCACAGUGGUGGCCACCGCGACUGGUGCUGAAGUGUCGGCGUGUGCCGGGCGCUCCGCUGGGACCCGGGUUGCUCGCCCUGAGUCUCAGCUUUCUCAUCUGUACGGUUGGGACAAGUACAGUAACCCUCGCCCGUCAAGACGGGCCAGGGCUGUGGCGAGGGUCCACGCCUUAGAGCAGGCACCUAUCUUGUGCAGGGCCCUGAGAUGGGGUCUGACUCAGUUCCUGCGGGGAACUUCACCAGUGACCCAGUCAGUGCCCUUCAGUUAAAGACCACCAGGAGCACACUUAUAUCAUGGAAAUCAGGACAGUAGCAGUUGGGAUUGUGGCAAUCAAAGGGGUGGAAAGUGAAUUCUAUCUUGCAACGAACGAGGAAGGAAAACUCUAUGCAAAGAAGGAAUGCAAUGAAGAUUGUAACUUCAAAGAUCUAAUUCUGGAAAACCAUUACAACACAUAUGCAGCAGCUAAAUGGACAAACAACGGAGGGGAAAUGUUUGUGGCCUUAAAUCAAAAGGGGAUUCCUGUAAGAGGAAAAAAAACAAAGAAAGAACAAAAAACAGCCCACUUUCUUCCUAUGGCAAUAACUUAAUUGCAUAUGGUAUAUAAAGAACCAGUUCCAGCAGGGAGAUUUCUUUAAGUGGACUGUUUUCUUUCUUCUCAAAAUUUUCUUUCCUUUUAUUUUCUAGUAAUCAAGAAAGGCUGGAAAACUACUGAAAAACUGAUCAAGCUGGACUUGCGCAUUUAUGUUUGUUUUAAGACACUGCAUUAAAGAGACAUUUGAAAAGUAUACACAAAAAUCAGAUUUAGUAACUAAAGGUUGUACAAAAUUGUAAAACUGGUUGUACAAUCAUGAUGUUAGUAAUAGUAAUUUUUUUCUUAAAUUAAUUUACCCUUAAGAGUAUGUUAGAUUUGAUUAUCUGAUAAUGAUUAUUUAAAUAUUCCUAUCUGCUUAUAAAAUGGCUGCUAUAAUAAUAAUAAUGCAGAUGAUGUUAUAUAAGGUAUAUCAGACCUACAGGCUGCUGGCAGGAUUUGUCAGAUAAUCAAGCCACACUAACUAUGGAAAAUGAGCAGCAUUUUAAAUGCUUUCUAGUGAAAAAUUAUAAUCUACUUAAACUCUAAUCAGAAAAAAAGAAUAUUCUCAAAAAAAUCUAUUAUGAAAGUCAAUAAAAUAGAUAAUUUAACAAAAGUACAGGAUUAGAACAUGCUUAUACCUAUUAACAAGAACAAAAUUUCUAAUGCUGCUCAAGUGGAAAGGGUAUUGCUAAAAGGAUGUUUCCAAAAAUCUUGUAUAUAAGAUAGCAACAGUGAUUGAUGAUAAUACUGUACUUCAUCUUACUUGCCACUAAAUAACAUUUUAUAAUUCCUCAAAGUAAAAUUGAGAAAUCUUUAAGUUUUUUUCAAGUAACAUAAUCUAUCUUUGUAUAAUUCAUAUUUGGGAAUAUGGCUUUUAAUAAUGUUCUUCCCACAAAUAAUCACGCUUUUUUCCUAUGGUUACUGCAUUAAACUCUAUAUUAAGUUGUUUUUG
rnacentral:lncRNA from 1 species